rnacentral:lncRNA from 1 species
CAGAAACCCUACAGGAACAAUGCUGGAAGACCUGGUUGCUGUCAGAGCUGCUUUCUUCUACUUGACUCCCUCUUUCUUCUCCCUUCCUUUGCUCCCUCUCCCUUCCUCCCUCCACCCCCCUUGCUCUCCCUAAGGUCUCCUAUAUCUAACCCCAGACUGGCCUCCAACUCUCUAUUUAGUCAAGGAAGACUUCGAACUUCUGAUCCUCCUGCCUCCACCUCACCUCCCAAGUGCUAGGUUGCAGGAAUUGACCCAUGUUAUGAAGUCUGGAGGUUAAGUCCAAGAUCUCAGGCAUUCUACGAAAGCCCUCACCGUGAGAGGCCCCAGCUCCACAAGGAGGUUUGCUCUCUGCCCUUACAUUUCUGGCUAUGAUGACAUAUGUGGCAAACAACCGGAGACAGGAGACUGAUGAUGGACCCAAGGAAUGUGAAGGUACCUUUGGAGGCCAGAAGAGGGCACUGGAUCCCCUGAAGCUAGAGUUCCAGGUGCUGGAUUCCACAUGCAUUUGUUCUCACCUCUCCUCCUUAC